CUUAUUUUAUUAUGUCUUCAUAGAUGAUAGCUAGAUACAAAAGUAAUUAUUUGUUGUUUUGUUUUGUUUUUGGAGACUAGUUUAUCAAAACUCAAAAUCUACUACUACGUACGUACUUCUCACACUUGUUAAAUGAUUAACACAAUUCUUCUGGCCGGUUUCAUUGCGCACUUGCUUUUUAAGACAUAAACGAAGUAAAGAAGACAAAAGAGAGGCAUCAAUGGGGUUAUCAACUCUUUAAGGAGCGAAUGAUGAAAACGCCACCUGUUCAAGAUUAUAUUGGAAAUGGGGAUUUACCGCCUGAUAAGGAAUUUGACCCAGGCAUAUUUAAUACAUAUAGUGAAUACACACCAAAACAAGAUGACAUCUUGUGAAACACCAACAUUCUAAGAAGCAUCCACUCAAGAUUCAAGGCCUAAUAUUAGAGGAAAGACUGACAUAGCUUGGGCACAUUGUAAGCUCAUUCCGGAGGGUGACAAGAUUGCUAUGAUGUUUAUUGUGAUAAAAUUUUUAGGGGAGGUGAAAUUAAUAGAUUAAAGAGUCACUUGGUUGAUUAAAGAGUCAUCUGGAUCUCAACCUACCUUGAAAAGUGUGUUGCAAAACAAAGAAGUGAUACGAAGGUGUGACCUUGCUAUUGCUAAAUGGUUCAUUGAUGUAUCUAUUCCAUUUAAUGCAACUAAUUUAGCAUAUUUUCAGCCUAUGAUUGAUGCUCUCUAUAACAUGAGUCCAGGAUACAAGGCUCCAAGUAUGCAUUGUCUUCAUGGUGAUUUGUUAAUUAGUUGGGUUGAUGAUGUGCAUAAACUUGCAGACGAUUAUCGUUCCAUUUGGAAAAAAAUUGGUUGUACUGUUACAGCAGAUGGAUGGACUGAUAGGAAAAGGAGAACUCUUAUCAAUUUUUUGGUCUAUUGUCCUAAAGGAACUAUUUUUUCUAAAAUCUAUUGAUGUCUCUCAUGCUUCUAAAUCUAUUGAUUUAUUGUUUAAGUUUUUCAAGGAUGUUGUGUUACGUGUUGGUCCUAAAAAUGUAGUUCACAUAGUAACUUACAACGCUACCAAUUAUGUUGUUGCUGGUAGGUUACUGGAAAAAGAGUUUCCUAAAUUGUUUUGGUCUCCUUGUGCAGCAUAUUGCAUCAAUUUAAUGUUGCAAGACAUGGGAAAAUUGGUGGAAGUUAGUGAGGAUGUGUCACAUGCCUAAAAAAUUACUAAAUAUAUUUAUAAUCAUUUAUAUGCUUUGUUUUUUAUGAGAAAGUAUACAAGUGGAAGGGACAUAAUUCGUCCUGCUUCUACUCGCUUUGCCACUAAUUUCAUUGCUUUGCAGAGUAUUUUGGCUCAAAAAGAUGCAUUAAGAGUCAUGGUAACAUCUAAAGAAUGGGCAAGCUCAGCUUAUGCCAAAGAAGCCAAGGCAAAAAAAUUUGUGGAACAAGUCUUAGACUCUGGGUUUUGGAGUAAAUGUGUUGAUGUAGUGAAACUAACUGAGCCACUUGUAUGUGUGUUGCGUAUGGUUGAUAGUGAAGAUAAACCUACUAUGGGUUUUCUUUACUGAGCCAUGUAUAAAGCUAGAGAAGAGAUGGUAAAGAGGUUUCGAAGAAAUACAACAAAAGUAGAGCUUUACUUGAAAAUCUUAGAUCAUUGUUGGGAUUCACAACUUCACAAAAAUCUCCAUGCCUCGGGUUAUUGGUUAAAUCCUGCUUAUCGGUAUAAUAAGGAAGAAUUUGAACAACAUAUGACUACAACAACUGGUCUAUUGGAUGUCAUUGAAAGAUAUGCUCAUAAAGAUAGUCAGUUGUGAACUAGUGAGAAGAGAAUUUACAGCAAUCCUGAGUUGGAUUUAGGAAGACAAGCUGCUUUGGAUGAACAAAAUACAAUCAUGCCAAAUCAAUGUUGGGUAUCUUAUGGAUGUGGGGUACCACAUUCACAAAAGUUGGCUAUUCGUAUUUUAAGCCAAACUUGUACUGCUUCAGGCUGUGAGCGGAAUUGGAGUGUAUUUGAGCACAUUCAUUAAAAAAAAAAGAAAUAGGUUGGAGCAUAAGAAACUUAAUGAUUUAGUCUAUGUUCGUUACAACUUAAGGUUACAAAAUAGGAAAAAGGGACAGCAAUGUUAUGAUCCUAUUAAUUUGGAAACACUUGAUGACCUUGUUGAUUGGAUAAUGGAGGAUUCACCACCAUUCUUAACCAAUGAGGAGGUGGAUGCAUUACGCAAAGACCUUGCAAACAUGACCAUUCAAUCACUUUCAAAUGAUAUUGGUCCUUUAAAUUUGGAUGAUGAUGUUGAUGAAGCACAAGGCAAUCCCAUGGAAAACAUGAAUUUAAAUGAAAGCAAUAUUGAUCAUGAAGUUACAAUGGGAGAUUCUUUUGAGUUCUUUAAUGAAGAAGGAGUUCCUAAAAAUGACAAUGACUUAAUUUAUGUCCCCUAACCAUAGAAAAAGUUCAACUUGUUUAGGAACAUAUGUUGAACUUGAACUUAUUAAGCUAUUAUUUAUGUUUGUGAUCUUUGUUA